UUUAACUUUAUAAAGGAACUGCAUUCAGAGGAAGGCGCUGCUCAGGAGAGCGUAAAUGAACGGCUAAAUGUCAAGUGUAAAAUGUAAAUGCAAUUACUCUCCUUCUGUCCGGCUCACGGUAGGCGGGACUCUGUUGCCAUGACAAUGACGUCAAUGUUGGUGUCGAGUAACCAAAGGUCAAAAUAAAGACAAGUGAAUGAAAACGGAAGGAAACUUAACAGGCUGCCCAGAAUAGGACACAACACGACCAAAUCAGCGUAAACUUCAAACAUAUUCAUUGCGGUGGACGUUGACUCACUGUUGUUCGGGAUGAUUCGUGUUGUUCGCCGGAAAAUAUAAGACUGCAGACGACAUUGCCUUUGAUGCUGGAAUCUUCAUUCACUCCAGACAUCCUCUACAGUGGCAGUUCCUCUGGUCAGAUGGCCAUUUCCAUACUGCUUCCUGUCCCUACUAAGGUUACGCACGCAGAUUGAAGCCUGCACAGAUUUUAGCCUGCUUGACAAUGCUGCCACAGUAUAGAUCAGUUUAAAGUUUUUAAACUUUAUAGUCUUUUUCCAUCAGUUGGCAAUGUUGUGACUUCAUCUCUGGCUGUGCAUUUCAUUGUCACUGUCUGAGGUUGCAAAUGCACUAAGUAGUUUGGGGCUGUAAACAUCCCCGACUGGAAGCUGUCUAUCCACAGAGCUUUCAGUCUGAUGUUUGCUGCUGCCAGCUACCUCCAGCUCCACAAAAAUGAACAAAUGUGCCAUGUCUAUUUAUCUGACCUGCUUCUUCAAAAUCCUAAUGUAAUUGUCUAGUGAAGCUUGUAUUAUAUCACCACCUUAUCUUAUUAAUUAUAGGCAUAUCACCUGUACCUUAUCAGUUAGAUCCUGCAGGUCAUAUUUGAGCCAUAGCUUUGUGUUUUGGUAGCUCUUAUCCAGUUGUCCAGAUUCAGUUCAUGUAAACAUCCUACACUCAGCUGGAAUCAGUUGCAGCAGAGGCUGAGAGAAGGUUGUUUACUUGAACUGGCUGGAAGUGACACUUUGGCAUAAAGAAAGCUGAGCACCGGCAUCCACAUCAAGGUUAUACCUCACCAGUUUAACAGUGUCUUUGAUAUGAGGAAAAAUGUAAAAAUACCAACAUUUGCUGCUCACAACCUCUCAAAUAACCUCUCAUGUUUGUGUACUUUUCAUCAUGUCAUACCACUGUAAGUUGAAUCCUUUUUGAAAAGUUUGUCAGACAAAAUAAGCAAAUUGAAGACAUCACCUGGGCUUUGAGAACUUGUCACGGGCAUGUUUGACAUUUUAUGGGCUAAAUAACUGUCUGUAAUACUAAUUAAUAAUAAAAAUAGUCUGCCCUAAUAAACUGUUCAGUGAUAAUGAAAAGAACAUUAAUGUUACAAGUAUAGACUAUGCUCAUGACCUUGUUCCCCUGUGUUUGACAGGAUGUGAUGCUGUUAUUUUAUGUGUAUUUUUUGUGGAUGUCUCAUUAAACUGCAUCAAAGGAA